GUACUCAGUUCAGCAACACAUAUACUAAAAAUUGGAACAAUACAGGAAAAAAAUUAGCAUGGCCCCCAUGCAAGGAUGACACAUAAAUUUGUGAAGCAUUCCAUAUUUUU